rnacentral:rRNA from 1 species
AAAGGGAGAUUAAUACCGCAUAACAUAAGAGAAUCGCAUGAUUUUCUUAUCAAAGAUUUAUUGCUUUGAGAUGGACCCGCGGCGCAUUAGCUAGUUGGUAAGGUAACGGCUUACCAAGGCAACGAUGCGUAGCCGACCUGAGAGGGUGAUCGGCCACAUUGGAACUGAGACACGGUCCAGACUCCUACGGGAGGCAGCAGUGGGGAAUAUUGCGCAAUGGGGGAAACCCUGACGCAGCAACGCCGCGUGGGUGAUGAAGGUCUUCGGAUUGUAAAGCCCUGUUUUCUGGGACGAUAAUGACGGUACCAGAGGAGGAAGCCACGGCUAACUACGUGCCAGCAGCCGCGGUAAUACGUAGGUGGCGAGCGUUGUCCGGACUUACUGGGCGUAAAGGGUGCGUAGGCGGAUGUUUAAGUGGGAUGUGAAAUCCCCGGGCUUAACCUGGGGGCUGCAUUCCAAACUGGAUAUCUAGAGUGCAGGAGAGGAAAGCGGAAUUCCUAGUGUAGCGGUGAAAUGCGUAGAGAUUAGGAAGAACACCAGUGGCGAAGGCGGCUUUCUGGACUGUAACUGACGCUGAGGCACGAAAGCGUGGGUAGCAAACAGGAUUAGAUACCCUGGCAGUCCACGCCGUAAACGAUGGAUACCAGGUGUAGGGGGUAUCAACUCCCCCUGUGCCGCAGUUAACACAAUAAGUAUUCCGCCUGGGGAGUACGGUCGCAAGAUUAAAACUCAAAGGAAUUGACGGGGGCCCGCACAAGCAGCGGAGCAUGUGGUUUAAUUCGAAGCAACGCGAAGAACCUUACCUGGGCUUGACAUCCCCUA